CACUGUGACUGGUGUCCCAAUAGUAGACAGCCAUGCAGAAACAAAGGCACACAGGACAACACCAUGUGAUGAUGAAGACAGAGAUUAUAGUUAUGCAGUUUGAGAGCCAAGAAACACUGACAAUGAAAUACGUGUGGAGCCAUGUUUUAUAUUACUUCACUGCAUAUGAAGUUAACAAAUUGUAGGUGGCCAGUAACUACAUUUCCAAUUUUGUUAUAACCUCGUUAAUUCUGAUGUUUGAGGAGCAAGACAAGAGCCAGUCUCACGUUCUCCUAUAUACUCCUCAGUAAGUAAUCAGUUUGUUAUGCCAGAUGAUAAGCAAGUCUGUAAAGGGAAUAAUUAAUUCACCAGGGUGGUAGUAAGUUAUUUUUAACAUUUUAUACAGAAGGAAUAUAAAAUUUAGAUGAUUAGUACAAUCACAUUAUAUGGACGCAUGAAAAC
rnacentral:lncRNA from 1 species